GGUCUCGUAGCUCAGUUGGAAGAGCACCUGGUUUACACCCAGGGUGUCGGCGGUUCGAACCCGUCCGAGAUCACCA
rnacentral:tRNA from 1 species